AAUAUUCCCGUACCACUCGGUGAGCGCUUGAGCGAAGGGGUGACGGAGAAGGGUAGGCCCUACCGGUAGCUGGCAUGCCGGGCCAAGCCUGUAGGGGGAGGCUCCAGGCAAAUCCGGAGCCUCACUAACCCUGAGAGGUGAUGGGGACUCCUUCCUACGGGAAGGGGGACUGGGCUGAGCCCAUGCUCCCGAGAAAAGCCUCGUAGCGAUGCUCACCGGGUGCCCGUACCGCAAACCGACACAGGUAGGCGGGCAGAGUAUGCUCAGGCGCUGGGGAAAACCCCGGUUAAGGAACUCGGCAAAUUGGCGCCGUAACUUCGGGAGAAGGCGUGCCCUCGUUAGGUGAAGGGAUUCCGCUUUCGCGGAACUCCUGGAGCCGAGGAGGGUCGCAGCGAACAGGCGGGGGCGACUGUUUACCAAAAACACAGGUCUCUGCAAAACCGUUAAGGUGAUGUAUAGGGGCUGAGGCCUGCCCGGUGCCGGAAGGUUAAGGGGAGGGGUCAGUCCUGCUUUAUGCGGGAUGAAGCCCUGAACCGAAGCCCCGGUAAACGGCGGCCGUAACUAUAACGGUCCUAAGGUAGCGAAAUUCCUUGUCGGGUAAGUUCCGACCUGCACGAAAGGCAUAACGACUUCCGCACUGUCUCAACCGGGGACCCCGCGAAAUUGGAGUGAGGGUGAAGAUACCCUCUACCCGCGGCGGGACGGAAAGACCCCGUGAACCUUCACUACAGCUUGGCAGUGAGUCUUAGGCUAGCCUGUAGAGAAUAGGUGGGAGGCUGUGAAGCCACACCGCUAGGUGUGGUGGAGCCGUCAGUGGAAUACCACCCUGGUUAGUCUGGGGCUCUAACCCAGGCCCCUGAAUCGGGGUCGGGGACACUGCCUGGUGGGUAGUUUGACUGGGGCGGUCGCCUCCUAAAAGGUAACGGAGGCGCGCAAAGGUCCCCUCAGGCCGAUUGGAAACCGGCCGUAGAGUGCAAAGGCAUAAGGGGGCUUGACUGCGAGAGGGACACCUCGAGCAGGGGCGAAAGCCGGCCUUAGUGAUCCGGCGGUUCCGUGUGGAAGGGCCGUCGCUCAUCGGACAAAAGGUACUCCGGGGAUAACAGGCUGAUCUCCCCCAAGAGUUCACAUCGACGGGGAGGUUUGGCACCUCGAUGUCGGCUCAUCCCAUCCUGGGGCUGGAGAAGGUCCCAAGGGUUGGGCUGUUCGCCCAUUAAAGGGGUACGCGAGCUGGGUUCAGAACGUCGCGAGACAGUUCGGUCCCUAUCCGCCGUGGGCGUAGGAGACUUGAGGGGUGCUGCCCCUAGUACGAGAGGACCGGGGUGGACGAGCCUCUGGUGAUCCAGUUGUCCCGCCAGGGGCACAGCUGGGUAGCCACGCUCGGAAGGGAUAACCGCUGAAAGCAUCUAAGCGGGAAGCCCGCCCCAAGAUAAGGUCUCCCCUGGGUGGGGAAACCCACCCACUGAAGGGCCCUCCAAGACCAGGAGGUUGAUAGGCCGGAGGUGGAAGCGCCGCGAGGCGUGGAGCUGACCGGUACUAAUCGCCCGUGAGGCUUGACCACAA
rnacentral:rRNA from 1 species